UACGUAGGGGGCAAGCGUUGUCCGGAAUCAUUGGGCGUAAAGCGCGUGUAGGCGGCUCGGUAAGUCUGCUCUGAAAGCCCGGGGCUCAACCCUGGGAGGCGGGUGGAUACUGCUGAGCUUGAGUCCGGAAGAGGCGAGUGGAAUUCCUGGUGUAGCGGUGAAAUGCGCAGAUAUCAGGAGGAACACCAAUGGCGAAGGCAGCUCGCUGGGACGGUACUGACGCUGGAGACGCGAAAGCGUGGGGAGCAAACAGG
rnacentral:rRNA from 1 species